AGGGCACAUGAUGAAUGUCUUGGCGUUGACAGGCUAAGAAGGACGUGGCAAGCUGCGAAAAGCUUCGGGGAGUCGCACACAGACUUUGAUCCGGAGAUAUCCGAAUGGGGAAACCCGGCACCGGUAAUGCGGUGUCACCAGUCACUGAAUACAUAGGUGGCUGGAGCAAUACGUAGGGAAGUGAAACAUCUCAGUACCUACAGGAAAAGAAAUCAACAGAUAUUCCGCUAGUAGUGGCGAGCGAACGCGGAACAGCCUAAACCGUCCGGUUUACCGGGCGGGGUUGCGGGACUCUUACACGGUACGGUAAAUUGUUAGUAGAACGCUUUGGAAAGAGCGGCCAUAGAGGGUGACAGCCCCGUAAACGAAAACGAUUUCCGGCUAUAGAGUAUCCCAAGUAGGGCGGUGCACGUGAAACUCCGUCUGAAUCAGGGGAGACCACUCUCCAAGGCUAAAUACUAGUCAACGACCGAUAGUGAACAAGUACCAUGAGGGAAAGAUGAAAAAGAACCCCGGGAGGGGAGUUAAAAGAACCUGAAAUCAUGUGUCUAUAAAGUGUGGGAGCGAAAGCGACCGCAUGCCUUUUGCAUAAUGAGUCUGCGAGUUACUCUAUACAGCAAGGUUAAGCCAUGGGCGUAGCCGAAGCGAAAGCGAGUGUUAAUAGCGCGUAUAGUUGUAUGGAGUAGACCCGAAACUGGGUGAUCUAUCCAUGGCCAGGUUGAACCUCCGGUAACACGGAGUGGAGGACCGAACCAUUACAUGCUGAAAAAUGUUUGGAUGAGCUGUGGAUAGGGGUGAAAGACCAAUCAAACCCAGUGAUAGCUGGUUCUCUUCGAAAUAGCUUGAGGGCUAGCCUCGUGUUUAAUUAGUGCGUGGGGGUAGAGCACUGAAUGUUAGCGGGCCCAUACCAGGGUACCAAAAACUAUCAAACUCCGAAUACCACGUACCAUAUCACGGGAGUCAGACUGUGGGGGAUAAGCUUCAUAGUCGAGAGGGCAACAGCCCAGACCGCCGGCUAAGGUCCCUAAUUUAAACUGAGUGGAAAUAAGGAUGUGGAGUUGCGUAAACAACCAGGAUGUUGGCUUAGAGGCAGCCAUCAUUUAAAGAGUGCGUAAUAGCUCACUGGUCUAGUGAUUCCGCGCCGAAGAUGAUCGGGACUAAGUUUAAAACCGAAGCCGCGGAUUCUCACUUAGGUGAGAAUGGUAGAAGAGCGUUGUGUAUGGAUAGAAGCCGAUAAGUGAUUGGAGGUGGACUAUACACAAGUGACCAUGCAGACAUGAGUAGCGAAAAACCGGAUGAGAAUUCCGGUCACCGAAAACCCAAGGUUUCCUGGGGCAGGUUCGUCCGCCCAGGGUUAGUCGGAUCCUAAGGCGAGGCCGAAAGGCGUAGUCGAUGGACAACAGGUUAAUAUUCCUGUACCACCUUGUUUGAGCGAUGGAGGGACGCAGUAAGCUAAAUGAGCCGGCGAUUGAAAGUGCCGGUCGAAGACCGUAGGGCGUGUUGCAGGCAAAUCCGCAACACAUUAAGCCUGAGAGUCGUAAGAUAGUUCGACGAAAGUCAGACAAAUUCAUUGAUGCUACACUGACGAGAAAAGCUCCUAAGCGUUGAUAACAGGGUGUUCGUACCGUAAACCGACACAGGUAGGUGAGGCGAGAAGCCUAAGGUGCGCGAGAGAAACCACGUUAAGGAACUCGGCAAAUUAACCCCGUAACUUCGGAAGAAGGGGUGCCGCCAUAAGGUGAAGGGACUUGCUCCCGGAGCUGAAGGCGGUUGCAACAAAGAGGCUGGUGCGACUGUUUAACAAAAACACAGCUCUAUGCUAACUCGUAAGAGGAUGUAUAUGGAGUGACACGUGACCAAUGCCAAAAGGUCAAGGUAAGAUGUUAGCCGUAAGGCGAAGCUUCGAACUGAAGCCCUGGUGAAUGUCGGCCGUAACUAUAACGGUCCUAAGGUAGCGAAAUUCCUUGUCGGGUAAGUUCCGACCUGCACGAAUCGUGUAACGAUGCCAGCACUGUCUCAACGUGGAUCUCGGCGAAGUUGUAAUUCCGGUGAAAAUGCCGGAUACCCGCGGUAGGACGGAAAGACCCCAUGAACCUUUACUGUAAUCUGAUAUUGGUAUUUGAAUAUCCAUGUGUAGCAUAGGUGGGAGGCUGUGAAGCAGGAACGCUAGUUUCUGUGGAGCCACAAGUGAAAUACCACCCUUGCAUAGUUGAAUAUCUAACCUUGACCCGUAAUCCGGGCGAGGGACCGUGUCAGAGGGUCAGUUUGACUGGGGCGGUUUCCUCCUAAAUUGUAACGGAGGAGCCCGAAGGUACACUCAACACGGUUGGCAAUCGUGUGCAGAGCGUAAGGGUAUAAGUGUGCUUUACUGUAAGACAGACAUGUCGAGCAGUUGCGAAAGCAGGGCCUAGUGAUCCAGCGAUAGAAUGUGGAAUCGUCGUUGCUCAACGGAUAAAAGGUACUCUGGGGAUAACAGGCUGAUAGCGCCCAAGCGUCCAUAGCGACGGCGCUGUUUGGCACCUCGAUGUCGGCUCAUCACAUCCUGGGGCUGUAGAAGGUCCCAAGGGUCCGGCUGUUCGCCGGUUAAAGUGAUACGCGAGCUGGGUUCAAAACGUCGUGAGACAGUUUGGUCCUUAUCCACCGCGGGCGUAGGAUAUUUGAUGGGAUCAUUCCCUAGUACGAGAGGACCGGGAAUGACUGACCUCUGGUCUUCCUGUUGUUGCGUCAGCAGCAUUGCAGGGUAGCUAAGUCGGGACAGGAUAAGCGCUGAAAGCAUCUAAGCGCCAAGCCCACCCAAAGACGAGAUAUCCCGGGCCUUUAUGGCCCCUGAAGGCAGGUUGAAGACUACGACCUCGAUAGGUUGGAGGUGUAAGCACAGCAAUGUGUUCAGCUUACCAAUACUAAUCAGCCGUGAGGCUUAACC
rnacentral:rRNA from 1 species